UACGUAGGGUGCAAGCGUUGUCCGGAAUUAUUGGGCGUAAAGAGCUCGUAGGCGGCUUGUCACGUCUGCUGUGAAAACUCGGGGCUCAACCCCGAGCCUGCAGUGGAUACGGGCUAGCUAGAGUGCGGUAGGGGAGACUGGAAUUCCUGGUGUAGCGGUGAAAUGCGCAGAUAUCAGGAGGAACACCGAUGGCGAAGGCAGGUCUCUGGGCCACUACUGACGCCGAGAAGCGAAAGCAUGGGGAGCGAACAGG
rnacentral:rRNA from 1 species